CUGCCUUCCGAUUGGCCGGUAUCGUGGUAAGCCUCCUGAGGCGCCGGGAGCCAGCCGGACAUCACCGCACUGGCCCCGGAGCGCUCAGUUCUGCUUCUUCCUUGUCGCCCCUGCUCUGCCGGCCGCCGCCGCCAUGGACCAAGCUGACAUUGCACUGAUUGGACUGGCUGUCAUGGGCCAGAACUUAAUUCUGAACAUGAAUGACCAUGGAUUUGUGGUCUGUGUUUUCAAUAGGACCGUCUCCAAGGUUGAUGACUUCUUGGCCAACGAGGCAAAGGGAACCAAAGUAGUUGGUGCCAGGUCCUUGCAGGAGAUGGUCUCCAAGCUGAAGAAGCCUCGCCGAGUCAUGCUUCUUGUGAAGGCUGGGCGAGCUGUCGAUGAUUUCAUCGAGAAACUGGUACCAUUGUUGGACACUGGUGAUAUCAUCAUCGAUGGAGGAAAUUCUGAAUACCGGGAUACAACAAGAAGAUGCCAGAACCUCAAGGCCAAGGGGAUCUUGUUUGUGGGGAGUGGAGUCAGUGGUGGUGAGGAAGGGGCUCGGUAUGGACCAUCACUCAUGCCAGGAGGGAACAAAGAGGCAUGGCCCCACAUCAAGACGAUCUUCCAAGCCAUCGCUGCAAAAGUAGGAACUGGAGAACCCUGCUGUGACUGGGUGGGGGACGAGGGGGCCGGGCACUUUGUGAAGAUGGUGCACAAUGGGAUCGAGUAUGGUGACAUGCAGCUCAUCUGUGAGGCUUACCACCUGAUGAAGGACGUUCUGGGCAUGCGGCACGAGGAGAUGGCCCAGGCAUUUGAGGAGUGGAACAAGACAGAGCUGGACUCCUUCCUGAUUGAAAUCACUGCUAAUAUCCUCAAAUUCCGGGACACUGAUGGCAAAGAGCUGUUACCAAAGAUCCGGGACAGCGCUGGGCAGAAGGGCACUGGGAAGUGGACCGCCGUCUCAGCACUGGAGUACGGCAUGCCUGUCACCCUCAUUGGAGAAGCCGUCUUCGCUCGGUGCUUGUCCUCUCUGAAGGAGGAGCGAGUUCAAGCCAGCAAAACGCUGAAGGGCCCCCAGCAGGUCCAGCUGGAAGGCAGUAAGGAGUCAUUCCUGGAGGACAUUCGAAAGGUGGGCAGCCCCUNUAUGCUUCCAAGAUCAUCUCCUAUGCUCAAGGCUUUAUGCUGCUCAGACAGGCAGCCACUGAGUUUGGCUGGACCCUCAAUUAUGGAGCCAUUGCCCUCAUGUGGAGAGGGGGCUGCAUCAUCAGAAGUGUAUUCCUGGGAAAAAUUAAAGAUGCAUUUGAACGAAACCCAGCACUUCAGAACCUGCUGCUAGAUGACUUCUUUAAGUCAGCAGUUGACAACUGCCAGGACUCCUGGCGGCGGGUGGUCAGCACUGGGGUACAGGCAGGCAUUCCCAUGCCCUGCUUCACUACUGCCCUCUCUUUCUAUGAUGGGUACAGACAUGAGGUGCUGCCAGCCAACCUCAUCCAGGCUCAGCGGGAUUACUUUGGAGCUCACACCUAUGAACUCUUAGACAAACCAGGAGAAUUCAUCCAUACCAACUGGACAGGCCACGGUGGCAGUGUAUCAUCCUCUGCAUACAACGCCUAGUAGGACUGUAGCUUCGCCCUCCCUCCCACCAACAGGACAGUCCCUGUGGCACGCAGCACUCCUCUUUGCCCUAGUUCCUGCUCAGAUCUUUUAGCCAAGUAUUGGCUGUGAUUGCUGAAGAAGUCACCAAGGUCUGUUGUCUGGUAGUUCUGACACCAUGUGCUCCACCUCGACCUUUUGCAUUGCCCAGGAACUGACCUUGUGCGCCACUGCGUGACCGCUCCCUGACUGAGCUGGGCCAUGUGGGUCACAGGGGAUGGAUGUGUGGAUUGUACAGCCUGAACUGUGGAUCAUGUAUGGGUUCUGUUGUCUUCCACUCAUAACGGCUAUAGUUACUUCUGCCGGUUUCUGGGCAUGCCUGGACGGAACAGCCGCUGUUCCAUUGCCAGAGGUCUGCACUGAGUUCACUGUAUGGGAAUUGAUUGCUUUUCCUUUAGCCUUAUUCAUUUUGACUCUGUUUUGUUUUGUUUUCUCUCUUUUUGAAGACUUCAAAUAACACAGGACACAUUAACUUGAGGGAUUAAGUCUGGAGGGAGGUGAGGAGGCACCAAGGAGUAGGGGACAGGGCUCUCGUGUUGUCUUGUCUUACUGGGCACAGUAGGUGCCUGGAUUGGAUGUUCAUGUAACGUCUACCCCAUCAACACUGGUAAUAAACUUUUUAGACUGGC